AAAGACUCAAUUCCUGGGUUUUCGUGUCCUACGUUUGACUGUCCGUCUUAUAUGAAUUUUUUUCAUGAUUAGUAUUUUCAUUGUUGUUAGAUGAUAAAACAUGAAUAAUACUUUAUGUGUGAUUUAUCUUUUUAAUUUUUUUAUUUUUUUAAAUAAGACGGACGGUCAAACGUUAGACACGGAAACUCAAGAAUUGAGUUAUU
rnacentral:pre_miRNA from 1 species